rnacentral:misc_RNA from 1 species
GUUUUAAUUUUUAAAAGGCACGAGGCCCAUUGUAAACAUUCUCAUACAUAUGUAUAGUGUAGGUAAAGAAACAUAAACCUGAGAUGUGAAAAAAGACAUGUAGCGAUUCUCAAACCAAAAGUAGUUGGGUUUAACUACUUUCGAAAGUGGUUCAGGUCUACACAAAGUGCACAGGUGGUUGAAAAAUGGAGUAAGUGUGCACAUGCUUUUAGAAGCCAGCAACAACCCAAACCAAGUUUAUUUCGAUAAUGAUCCUUCCGCAGGUUCACCUACGGAAA